rnacentral:rRNA from 1 species
UACGUAGGGCGCAAGCGUUGUCCGGAAUUACUGGGCGUAAAGAGCUCGUAGGUGGUUUGUCGCGUUGUUCGUGAAAACUCACAACUCAAUUGUGGGCGUGCGGGCGAUACGGGCAGACUGGAGUACUGCAGGGGAGACUGGAAUUCCUGGUGUAGCGGUGGAAUGCGCAGAUAUCAGGAGGAACACCGGUGGCGAAGGCGGGUCUCUGGGCCGAUACUGACGCUGAGGAGCGAAAGCGUGGGGAGCAAACAGG